UGUAAUUAGAUGUAGUGUGGUCCGAUAAAUCAUUAAAAAUAGAAGUUGGCGAACCAAGGUGUUGCGUAAGCUUAUCCUGAAAUAAAGGUUGAAGCUUUUCUAACCACAUUGAGCGCUUGUCCAUCAAUGAUUUGAUGACAGGAAAAGAGCCGCUCGUAGCUGAAGAGCCAAUUUUAUCAGUAACAAUACGUUUCUUUUUAACCUUCAAACUUCUGUUACGUUUGACAUACGCUUGUUCGAUUUGUUUAUCUAGAUCAUCCAUCACAUUUUGGAAUUCUUGAAAUGCCAUUUCCUCAGGAAGCAUCUGUAACAGCGCAUUCCUCAUUUUUUCGUUUUCAUCAGAAACUACCUUCAAACGAGCAUUCAAACUCCUUAAGGUAGCUGAAAUUUCAUCAUCCUGUCGCUUUGACCAAUCUACAUCGCCAUCAUAAAGUAUACCUAGUUGUUUUAGGGUGUAACGAAGGCGGUCCUCACAAAUUGAAAGACUCGACUCUUGUAUAUCCGGUUGUUCUGUAUAUUCAUUAUUUCCUGACUCGAUUCCAUCAAUGCUUGUACCAAUUUUGCUUUUCUCGGAUCCAGAAUCGGUUUCCGCAAAUUCGCCAACAGCAAUAGAAGGUUUUUGCUCCUCAUCAUUCUGCGUGUAGCAAGGAAUUAAUGAAGCCAUUAGUCGUUCAGUGAGUGGACCACACCUAACUUCCUCAGAGACGGUAU